UCUCUCCCUUCCGUCUGCUCGAUCUACUGCUCUGCCCUGAUCUGGUUUGUAUUGUUUCAUCUGGUAUUGGAUUUGUUGUUUGCUGUCUUGGGCUGGGUUCAGUAUGGUGUUUCUCGAGCAACGAAGUCAUUGGAUUGGGCUCUGGUUUUUGUGAGAUGCCGCUUUCGUGCUUCAAUUGUUGUGGAGGGCGCCGUGCACUGCAGAGGAUGAGAUUGGCUGAUUGUUGUGGACUGAUGCUUCCCUUUAAGUUUAACUUGCUGCUUCAAUUGCCAACUUUGACAGGAGGAGAUUGAUCGGUGCACCCAUCGCAUAGAGCCGAAGGAAGUGUGUCAAUCCAGCAAUACAUGGAGCCGGCCAGCAACCAGCGACGCAACCACCAUUGUCUUACCUGCUCUAAGCGCACUCAAUUUUGUUUCAGAUGGAAUGCAUUCAGCAUACAUGGUGGAAGAGAGCUGCCCCCAGGCCCUCACUACUGAACAACCACACCCACAACAAGGACAUGGAGAUCUUCAUCACAGGGCAAGUGAAGGCAAGAAAUAAGGUGCCAAAGGAUUUAAUUAGGCGAAGAUGAUUAGGCUCUAGUACACACCGAGUGCAUCCAUAAGAGUCUACGUUAAAAUACUACAGAAGGGUUGAUGAUGUAUCUAUGGAUAUUAUACUGACUGAUAGUCCAUGGUUCAUUUGAGCUCACUUUGGCGCGAAUGUGGUGAUGAAGGAGAGCAAAAAGGAAAAAUAUGCUACGGUUUAUCUUGCAGCUCAAUUUUCAUACCCUUCCCAGCUUAAUAUACACUAUUUUCUUUGGACCAACUUUAUGUUGCCUUUUCUCUGUACACACCUCAUCAAAACUGAACCGAGAGGGAUCACAUAGGUUUAGAUGGCGCGUGUGAACAUGGUUUAAGAUAUGAUGUUUCUUGGAGAGAUCAAACUAACCUUUUCCAUUUCAUGGUUUAUUAACUAAAAUAUUGAUCGACGACACAUUCUGAUGCUUCAGCAUUGUUUUUGCCUUCUUGUCAUUGAAUUAGGUAAUAUAGUAAGAAAGCAUACUGGUGUCAUUAUGGUGAGUAGGGUCUGAUUGUGAGUUGCAGGCCAUCGUUGUCGGUCAGAGGAAGGGGCGGUCUCCAUCUGGUCGAACCUGGUGUGCGCGGCAAGGUAGCUAUGUAUGGAGGGAGAGGCAAUUUGGGGACGACUUCUUGAUGAGUAGAAUUUACUAAGCAAUUAGAUCAAAUACGUAUAUAUAUUUAAUGCAAUGCUCUGUUCGGUAUCUGAAUGCUCAAGUUGGAAAGUUGUGUCAGCUUGACAAUUGUGAAAUCCCUGCUGGAGAAGUACUACAUUGAUCUCAAGCUAAUUGGCCGCCUUGAGGUUGGUAGCGAGACAGUGAUAGACAAAAGUAAAUCCAUCAAAACGUGGCUAAUGCAAUUUUUAGAGGAAACUGGUAAUACCGACAUCGAGGGAGUUUGACUCCAGUAAUGCAUGUUAUGGUGGAACAACUUCCCUCUUGAAUUGGUGUGACUUCGGUCCAAAGUCCAUGCUGGGAUGAACGUUACGGCCUUGUAGUCUGCACAGAUAGCACGGUUUAUGCAGAGGGACCAGCUCGACCUGGUGGAGCUGCUGCAGUUGCUAUGCUUAUUGGUCCAAAUGCACCUAUUUCUUUCGAAAUCAAAUAUAGAGCUUUUCACAUGACUCAUGUUUACGAUCUCUACAAGCCUCAUCUUGCAAGUGAAUAUCAGUCACAAAGCCAUCAGGAUCAGGGUUGAGUUGAAAAACAGCACAUUCUGUACCUACAGGACUAUCCCAAUGCACUUAGAAAUUUCUACUACUCCAGAUUCGGAUGUGUUUCCAGCUUGCUCAGAUAUGUUGCUACUUAAUUCUUUGAACCUGAAUAUGUGUACUGGUAUUUGAAACAGACCAAAAGUUCAAUCAAGAAUUUGAGAUCUGAACAAUAUUGCCUAAUACCCAGUUAUACAAGGAUCAAGUUUCAGAGAAUCAGAGAUCAACAACUUGCUAGUUAACCACUCGUCGCACAAUGUAAUUUACCCGCAAACUGACAGGCAUCAAUGCUACAGUUUGGAAGAAAAAGAGUGCUCCCUGGACUGUCAGGUUGUGUGAUCCUUUGAAUUGCAAACCAAAGCUACAAGAGCGUUCAGCCAUUGGAGCUGACGCUCAAGCUCCACGCCAAUGUGAAGAGCGCUAAGGCCGUAAACACAUAAUUAAGCAAUGCACACCUCAACUUACAAGACAACAUGAAGGAUUAUCAAUCUUUUAGCAGAUAAAUUUAAGACUUAAACGCUCUGAAUUUCUUCAUUUGCAUGAAAAAUGGUAUUGCAAGGCAGAUCAUUUUAUCUGUACAGUCAGCUCUCCAAAAGCACCCUAAAUUUCAGUGUAGAAUCAAAAUUGCUAAGAAUACCUGGAAUGGAAAUUCUUAGUGGCACGUGUAAGCUUUGCAGAUUGUUUGGUUUUUAAAUCUAUUAUUUUCUGAUAUA